rnacentral:rRNA from 1 species
AGUGAACGCUGGCGGUAGGCCUAACACAUGCAUGUCGAACGGCAGCACAGAGGAGCUUGCUCCUUGGGUGGCGAGUGGCGGACGGGUGAGGAAUACAUCGGAAUCUACUCUGUCGUGGGGGAUAACGUAGGGAAACUUUCGCUAAUACCGCAUACGACCUACGGGUGAAAGCAGGGGAUCUUCGGACCUUGCGCGAUUGAAUGAGCCGAUGUCGGAUUAGCUAGUUGGCGGGGUAAAGGCCCACCAAGGCGACGAUCCGUAGCUGGUCUGAGAGGAUGAUCAGCCACACUGGAACUGAGACACGGUCCAGACUCCUACGGGAGGCAGCAGUGGGGAAUAUUGGACAAUGGGCGCAAGCCUGAUCCAGCCAUACCGCGUGGGUGAAGAAGGCCUUCGGGUUGUAAAGCCCUUUUGUUGGGAAAGAAAUCCAUCUGGUUAAUACCCGGGUGGGAUGACGGUACCCAAAGAAUAAGCACCGGCUAACUUCGUGCCAGCCGCCGCAGUAA